rnacentral:rRNA from 1 species
CCCUUAGAUGUCCGGGGCCGCACGCGCGCUACACUGAAGGAAUCAGCGUGGCUUUCUCCCUGACCCGAAAGGGUUGGGAAACCCGUUGAAUCUCCUUCGUGAUAGGGAUUGGGGCUUGAAAUUGUUCCCCAUGAACGAGGAAUUCCCAGUAAGCGCGAGUCAUAAGCUCGCGUUGAUUACGUCCCUGCCCUUUGUACACACCGCCCGUCGCUACUACCGAUUGAACGGUUUAGUGAGGGCCUCGGAUUGGUCUCGGCCCGCUCUUUACCGGGCGGCGCCGUUGGUCGAGAAGACGCUCGAACUUGAUCGUUUAGAGGAAGUAAAGGUCGUAACA